AAUUGCUCUGUUUUGUUUGAAUAGUCUGGCAUAUAAGACAAGAGAUUCUCUGAGAAUUUUGAUUGCCGAACUCCAAUCACAUAAUAACAGCACUACCAUAUUGAAAUCUCGUUUCAAUGAGAAAAUGUGAUGGUCAAGGCCGAGUAGAACAAAUGUGUGAUUAUGUGUACACUUGAAGUGGAGAUCCAGGUAUGAGGACAACAUCUGCCCCACACAAUAUUAGAGAUAAAUGUCCCACAUCGAAUAUUGAAAGGGAUCCCUAACAAUCUAUUAUUAUAAAGAAAUGUGCCUCUCUCCUUAUUAGGACACGUCAUCAAUUAGAAGCAGCAGAAGCCGACAUCUGUCCUACUCUCACGUAAGUCUCGCUGCCCUUUAUGUUUCUAAUGGGCUUUCAAAUGCAUGUGUAUUCUCUGGGCUUCAAAAUAUUAUGUUAGAUUGAAUAUUUACUUAAUAUGUCCCAAUAUUGUCCUUUGAGUCGCCUUCUAUUUCAAUACGGUAUCGGCGUUAGGGUUCUUCAUAAUCUGCAAAUCUGCUUACGUCUAGCGUUUAUAGAGAUUUUGGUUUCUCUGAGAGAGAUACUUCGUCGCUGUAAGAUGUGCGUAGGCGUUUCGUUUUUUUUUACUCACCCCAAUGUCGUUACAAGUUCAUUGAUUCAGCAUUGAUUCAACAUCAUUAAGUCUCGCUUUUCCCUCACGACCCACUACAACCACAAUUAUGCAUUUAAUGUCUCUUUAUCCUCUUCCAAGCGGUGGAUCUCAUCUAUAAAAAGAUUCUGAGAAGCCAAAAACGUUAAACACGGUGGCCAGUUGAUGGCGUGUACAUGAUUUUCAUGAUCCUAAGUCGACACUCAUGCCAGCCACCAUUGAUGGCCACUGUCUCGCCACCUUCCGACGCCGUGUCAAUGCCGGUUCUCUGUUGACAGUUAGCUGGUUCGAUGUGAUACGGUGCAAUCAUAGCUUCUGACUAACCUACUCUCCUCUAAUGAUUCAGUUUAUUAGUGAUUCAACCACUUCUGAUGAGAACCAAACCGGUCUCUCCAAUACCUGAAGAACGGUUUAGGUUACGGAAUCACGAUUAGCUUCAUGGCCUAGCCAAUACAAACACACAUAUUCCAGGUUCAUCCGCUUAAUAUCUGAUUCAUCCAAGAUUAAUUAUUGAAACCUAUAAAUAAUUGAGCGCUCCAUUGACUCUCAGACAUUAUUGGAGAACUCACUGAUGUGAAGAGUACAGUGAGUGAUAAGCCAUUCAUCACCACUUUCAUAACUGAUUAAAUAUACGCUGGCUAUUUCAUAUUAUGGUUUUUCUGUUGGCAGUGAGCCAGUGAUGUAUAUGUCAAGCAGUGGAGUUUCACUAUAUACUGGAAGGUUUUGGAGGUGAUCCAAGAGUUGUUGUCACGACUGACAUAAAAUAAUGAUGAUGAUAAUGGAGAUGACAUGCCUGGUGGCAAUUCAGUACUCUCUAAGGUUAAGGCAUACUGACGUUGACGAUGAAUUCAUCUCAGGUAACUAAAGUUGCUUUUAAAUCAAAAUGUUUGGGUUGAUGUUUCUUGGAAAAUUAUGCGAAUUUAUCACUCCAUUGAAGACAGGCAAACAGAGGCGCCCAUGGUUAGAUUCUAAAUAUCUCUCUAGGGAGACACUUGAAAAGUUCAGCUAUUCAUUCACCAACAAGUACAACUACAUGUAUUUUGUUGUCUGUCAUGCUUUUUUCUUUCUGUAAAAUGAACAAACAGAAUCGAGAAUAUAUAGAACUCUCCACCAAAUGAUGAAAGAGUCUAAUUAGAACAUUGCUAUUUACCGCAUCCACAUUUACGAUUUUCAAGUUUAUAUGAAACUUCCAUCUAUUGUAUCCUAUCUGACAUGACCUAUCUCAUACAGUAAUUGCAGCUUGAUUAGCUCGACAAACCCGGAUGCUCCGGCCAGCUACUAAUUCUUCUGAAAGUAUUCUCACUGCCCAUAACUCACCAAAAUUCUUUUACUUCCUCAGCUAAAACUCAAACAUUUAAAAGUUAUGGAAGAGGAAGAACUCACGCUUUACCAGACACAAAAAUGCAUGUACAUAACGACUAUACUUUUCAAGACUAACAACCAAAGUGACAACAAUCAUUAUCACCAAUAUACAUUCCAUUCGCAAUCAAAACACACCAAAUAUAUAUUAACACAUUAUAAAAAUUUGUUGAAUGAUAAAAAUUUGACUUUAGGUCCACGUGGGCUAUCAUAUUGUUUCCGUAUUUGGGUCCAUUUAUUUUGGCCCAUUAAAAAUUGACGUAUUAGUUCCUAACUGGAAACAUAAUAUCUUCUUCUUCUCAUCUUAGCUCUCUCCACCUUCAUCUUCACCACCGUAAACCAAACAUUGAAUAUCAAUCACCACGUCCACAAACCACCAUUGUAACUCUUCGUAUCAACAUAAUUCCAUGUAAUUAAGAUUGUGAUAACCUUAUACAGGCAUCGGAGAAGCUGAGAAGCCA